AUCGCUUCUUGGCCUUUUGGCUAAGAUCAAGUGUAGGAGCCUUACAGCUGGAGCCUUACAAAGGCAAUAAAUGGCACUGCACCCGCACACUUGAGCACUUUUUUUGUGUUUUAUUUGUGCACACUGGAUGGGUGUCAUAGUCCUUUGGGCUUGACCCAGGCCAAUAUUUACACGGACUUCCCCUAGCUGCAAGGUGAAGGGAAGUCCAACCACC
ensembl:snRNA U2 U2 spliceosomal RNA